GAGUAAUGUCUGGGAAACUGCCUGAUGGAGGGGGAUAACUACUGGAAACGGUGGCUAAUACCGCAUAACGUCGCAAGACCAAAGAGGGGGACCUUCGGGCCUCUUGCCAUCAGAUGUGCCCAGAUGGGAUUAGCUGGUAGGUGGGGUAACGGCUCACCUAGGCGACGAUCCCUAGCUGGUCUGAGAGGAUGACCAGCCACACUGGAACUGAGACACGGUCCAGACUCCUACGGGAGGCAGCAGUGGGGAAUAUUGCACAAUGGGCGCAAGCCUGAUGCAGCCAUGCCGCGUGUAUGAAGAAGGCCUUCGGGUUGUAAAGUACUUUCAGCGGGGAGGAAGGUGUUGUGGUUAAUAACCGCAGCAAUUGACGUUACCCGCAGAAGAAGCACCGGCUAACUCCGUGCCAGCAGCCGCGGUAAUACGGAGGGUGCAAGCGUUAAUCGGAAUUACUGGGCGUAAAGCGCACGCAGGCGGUCUGUCAAGUCGGAUGUGAAAUCCCCGGGCUCAACCUGGGAACUGCAUUCGAAACUGGCAGGCUUGAGUCUUGUAGAGGGGGGUAGAAUUCCAGGUGUAGCGGUGAAAUGCGUAGAGAUCUGG
rnacentral:rRNA from 1 species